rnacentral:rRNA from 1 species
UGACCUCAAAUCAGGUAGGAUUACCCGCUGAACUUAAGCAUAUCAAUAG